GUUUCCAUGAUCCUUAUUCAUCCACAACAGGAAAAGGAAUAAAGUUGACAGGACUUUCCGCACUGUCAGUGGUAGCAGCUUAUGAUGGAACUAACAACAGUGGACAUAGCCCGCUUCAUCAAAGAUGCACCAGACGCAGCGGCACUAUCUCCAUCACUGAUGAAAUGGGAAAUGACGAGUGGAUGGUCAUCAGUUUGUAACUCCCCGAUACAGUUUGCAGCCCAUCUCUUCUCAUCUCCAAAGCUGAUUCAAUAUUUGCACCAAGAAGCAUACCACGCAUACAUUCUGUUGUAAGACUGGUACCCAGGUGACCGACAGCCAUGGCCACAUUUAGCUGUGCAGCUCUUCGUCCCCUUCCAGAUCUCCUCAAGCUUUUCUGAGUGACUGGUAUAGUGGCACUUCUUACAUCGGAUGGAAAGGAUCCAUGCCAGGCCUCGUUUUUCCUCCCCAUGCUGAUUCCAGUUCAUUGAACUGUCACAGUCUGGAAACUUAUAACUGCCUGGUCUUCUAAGAGAAACUCCAUUCUUUGAUGACUGAUGGAAAAGUUUAUUUUAGAGCUGCCUGGUCUUCUAAGAGAAACUCCAUUCCUUGAUGACUGAUGGAAAAGCCUCAUCACCCCCACUGCUAAAGAACCCCUUAUCUUAAUCACCAGCCAUUAAUCAGUGAUCACUUAUCAAAGCUCCAAGGUGCGCAUAAUUCAACUUCCUGGAUGUUGUGUAGGCUGGCUGUUUGUCAAGAUGUGAAACCCAUGCAGAUGUAUUUCGGGACUAACCAUCAUGAGAAAUGUCAACACUCCAGGAUAGUGCAUUCACCAGUGAUGAUCUGGUAUUAUUGCAAGAACAAGUGAAACACCAGUGGAAGGAAGAGCCCUGGAAAGACUUGCUUGAUCUAUGUACAAAGACAAAUUUAUUUGCCUGGAAGAAAAAUAUUGUACUUGACUUAGUGGAUAUGAUUUUUUAAAAAAGGUUUAAAUUAUUUAUUACAUAAUAUGUAGUAUAGUUUACAUAAAAGGAACAAAGCCAGAGAAUUUAUUUAAUAAUUGUAAAAUACAAUUUUUUAUAUAUUCUGAUGUAUAUAUAGUAUAAAUUGUGUAGCUAUUAAAUUAAAUUCCCUAAGUAAAUCAUGUCAACCUGUUAAAUACAAAAAAUAUGUUGCUUAUCCAAUUUAAAGGUCAGGUAAAAAGUAAAUAUUUUGGGUACCUGCAGUUGUCUUUCAUCAAGGUCAUAAUCUUUUAACACAAAUUUGUCAAAGUAGUUGCCAAUUGGUGUAAACCCUUUGUAUAGCAGAAGUUGCUGCAUAUAGCUUUGGAGUGCAUUUGGGAAGCUCUGCAAGUGGGAUAAAUAAAGGAUAAUCAUUGUUUUUUAGCUCUACUGGUCAGAGACCAGAAGAGCUUAUGCGGUAGUAAGGUGUCCGUCGUCCGUCCUUCUGUCUGUCUGUAAACAAUUUUUCAAAACGCUACUCCGCCUACAGUUUUAGUCUGAUUUCAGUAUAACUUGGCACACAAGUAGUCUACAGUAAGAUACAUAAUUCUGUGUAUUGGUUUUAUAUUUCAAUGAACGGUGUUGAUAUGGUUACUAAAAAUAGAGAUUUCUGGGAAGUACUUUCUAAACGCUACUCCUCCUACAGUAUUGGUCUGAUUUCAAUAUAAAUUAGCAGACAAGUAGACUACACUAAGAUACAUAAUUCUGUGUAUAGGUUUUUGAUUUCAAUAAACGGUGUUGACAUGGUUACUAAAAAUAGAAAUUUCUACUCCUCCUACAGUUUUGAUCUGAUUUCAGUAUAACUUGGCAGCCAAGUAGACUACACUAAGAUACAUAAUUGUCUUUAUAUAUAUUUUUUUUUGAUUUUGUUGACUGAUGUUGCCAUGGUUACUAAAAUCAAAAUUUCUGUUAAAGACUUUUAAAAGGUUAUUCCUCCUAAAGUUUUGAUGAUUGCAAUAAAUCUUGCUACAAAAAGAGACUAAACCAAGGAUCAUUAUUCUAUUUAUUCCUGUUGCAAAGUUUCAAGUCCUAGUGCUACUUUAAUCUUCCUUUGUUAUAAGGACAAACCAGUAGUGUUACAGUCUCAUCAGAGACUUCUGGUUUUAGUUUGAUAUGGAAUUUAUUUAAAGAAAGGGACACAAUUGUAAAGCAUCAAUGAAAAUAUAAUUAUAUAUUAAAACAAUGUUUGUGUCACAAGUGAAAUAAAUUCGAUGUUCAACUACAAAAAAUUGUAUUGAGUUUUAUACAUUGAAAUAAAAAGUAAAGUAUUUAAUGUUGAAAAGAAGGAUGUUGUUUGUUUUUUUUUAAGACAAGCAUAGUACAAAAAAAAUGUAUAUCAAAAUGUGGAUUAAUAUGCAUUUACGAUUUUUUUUUCACAUUGUUCAUUGACAAGUAGGUAAAUGAUUUAGCAUGGUUAGUUUUGAUUGUCAGGUUUCAGAAUGUUUUGAGUAUUGUAAAUGAUAUGAUGUAUAGUUAACUACCUAACAUUAAAACUUCCUGUUGUAAUAAGGGACUAGGGGGAGGAUUGUAAACUCUGUAUUAAUUGAAUGUAAAUUUUGUUCCUUACAUUUUGCAUUCAUGUUUGGAUUUCUGAAGAUUGGUUUUCUAUUUUUUAAUAUUAGAUUUGUUAGCAAAGGAGUGGUUAUUAUUGAUAAUAAUGUAGAAGGAGGGAAAAAUAGGGGGAUAAAAAUUAAUGGAUUUCUGAUUUUAAAAUGAUUUGAUAGGGUAUUUUUUUCGGUUGUUUUUAAAUUAAUUUUAUUAAGAGGUAAAAAAAAAAAAAUCAGGAAAUUUACUCCUCAAUAAAUAUUUAGUUUCAUACAAUACCUCAAAUGCAGUGGAUCCAAUCUCAAUAAAUUGUUGAUUUGAAUUAUUCUCGGGCUGUUGUUCAAUUUUAUUUUCUUGAACACUUGUUGUUUUGGAUUUUCCAUUUGCUAAAAUUGUUAAUCAGAUGUUAGUUCAUUUCAAUUUUUAUGGGAAGGGGAGUGUAAUUCCAACUCAAUUUUGGUAUAGUUUGUGCAUCUGUCUGUCUGUCAAUUAACUGGGAAUUCUGGAGAAGAUGAACAAAAAUCAAUCUAGCUUACAAAAAAGAAUUGUUUGGGAAAGUUGAUUGAUAUUUGUUCAAAUGGAGUACACAGACAUAUUUCGAAGAAGUAUGAUCAAGAAGAGACUAAAAUAAUGGAAAUAUUUAUUAAACCAUAUGAUUCAAUAAAGUUAAUAUAAAGGUCUCUGGGGUGAGGGUUGGGGUCAUUAUUGGGGAUCAAAGAGGAAAAUGGUAUGUAAUUUAUCAUUAGAAUAUAGGGGUUAAUAAGUGUACUAUUUUUAUAAAAAAAAACAAGGUAGAUAUUUCUAUGUAAACAUCACCUUAUAAAAUUAGGUGGGUUUCUUCUAAAUAAUUAUCCCUUGAAGUGAGAUUAGGCCACAAUAGAGAAGGAAAGGCAAUCUAAUAUGGUCAUCAAGAUUGAUAUUCAUUUUAAUGUAAGUUUUAUGUAUUUAAAACAGUUUUGGAAUCAUUACUCCAAGGGCUAGGAUGGGAGGAAUUGUAUGAAAAACAGCAUGGCUUAAGUGAUUAGGGGGAGCAUUUUGGCCCAUGGGCCUCUUAAUUUGAUUUGAUUAUAUUAACGUAUAUUAGAAAUUGUCUUGUAAUACAUGAGAAAAGAUAGUAAAAUUGAUUGUAUAAAUUUAUAUGUUCUGGAUAGGCUAUAGAUUCUUGAAAUAGUAGUUUGUUUUCAUGGUUAAAAUACUUGCCCUUCCUUGGGGUUCCUCGUAUUUUUCUUUUGAGUGUUGGAAUCUUCAAAAGGUCGAGUUUGUUUUCAUUAUUAAUUAUAACUUCCUUAGAAAAAUGGCCGUCUGUAGGGAAAUAUAAAAUAUAAUAUAACAUUAUUUGAAAAUUGGAUUAAGAUGUUUCUACGUAGUUACAAGAUUUGUGCUUUUAAAACAAAAGAUGAAAAAAAAAAAUGGAUAAGAAAGUCUUUUUAGAUAAAGAAGAUGGGUGAACAUGAAGACAGAAAAGCCUAUAGUGUGAGGAACAUGAAGGUGAAAAAUUAAAUCUCAAUUAUAUCAAAAUUUUCCUUAAUAUUGGGUUUAACAUUAAAAUAUACUUUAUGAAAAAUCUCUGAAAUUUGCAAAAAUCUCGCAAAGAUUUAAAUUAUUUGCCCAUGAAAUAUUAUACACACUAUGAAAUAUUAUACACACAAUAAAGAGGGCAAAAUGAGUCAUUUUCUAAUUCUAUAACAUUUUUUUUUAGAUAAGAGUGGGUCUUCUUUCCAUUUUUUUUUUUUUGCUAGUUAAUCUUGAAAGUUUGCAUAAAAAUAUACAUUUUUUGGUUACCAAGAACAUGGAGCAAAGACCUACUAUACAUUAAAAAUACAUUUUAUGACAUAACAUUCGCAUAUUUUAGAGAAAUACUUAAGUCCAUUAAGUCAAGGGUCAUAUCACAAACAUGAUUUAAAUGCCACUAUUUGUCAGGACUAGUGUUUAGCGUGCUAGUCUCGAAAGAAAAUGAUACUCAGGAGUUCAAUCCCCGCGAGUACCACAUCUUUUAAUAAAAAUAAAUUUUGACGAGAAAAUUUUCCUCAUAAAAGUUUUAUUUAUGAUGAUUUCAUAAACUUCAAUAAUGAGAAGGUUACUCUAAAUACAAAAUUCACAAAUUUCACAUGAUUUUUAAAAUAUCUUAAGGUAUAGGCUUUCUGAAGGAUGUUCACAUAUUUCCUUUUGGGGAACAGUUUUGUGUUAACAGUAGUUUGAGAUUUGGGUUUGAUGAAUGUGAUGAGCAAUAAUCUUGAAAAAUAAUGCAUUUUGUGAUUAAUAAAAUUAAAAUGUAUUGAAA